ACUCGACGCACUUCCGAUCUGUUACAUACUUCAGUGCCGUAGCGCCUGGUAUGAGCCUCGUGGAGAAGCAAUCGCUAGUCCACGGGGCUCAUACUUCAGCGCUGCAGCGCUUGGUACUCGGACCUCGGCUCGAGGCAUUUUCUCUAUCCCU